rnacentral:rRNA from 1 species
GGCGCAGGUGGGAAAGUCAGUCAGACGUGAAAGCCCGGGGCUCAACCCCGGGAUGCCGGUCGAAACUGCUGUGACUUGAGUUCGGUAGAGGUGAGUGGAAUUCUCGGUGUAGCGGUGGAAUGCGCAGAUAUCGAGAGGAACACCCGUAGCGAAGGCGGCUCACUGGGCCGAUACUGACGCUGAGGAGCGAAAGCAUGGGGAGCAAACAGGAUUAGAUACCCUGGUAGUCC